AUCAAAGCCCAUGACAAAUGCACA
rnacentral:siRNA from 1 species